rnacentral:rRNA from 1 species
CACGUAGGGCGCAAGCGUUGUCCGGAAUUAUUGGGCGUAAAGAGCUCGUAGGCGGUCUGUUACGUCUGCUGUGAAAACUUGGGGCUUAACCCUGAGCUUGCGGUCGAUACGGGCAUGACUGGAGUUCGGUAGGGGAGACUGGAAUUCCUGGUGUAGCGGUGAAAUGCGCAGAUAUCAGGAGGAACACCGGUGGCGAAGGCGGGUCUCUGGGCCGAUACUGACGCUGAGGAGCGAAAGCGUGGGGAGCGAACAGG